AACCAAGAGUCGGGCAUUCAGCCUUACCCUUAAAGUUGGUGGGCUGUCUUGUAAUGGCCUUGGUCACAGAUAUAGGCCUAUGGGUCUUGGCUGAGUCAACUGCUUAGGGCUAUAAAAUUUAUAGGUAUUCAAUUUUCAACCUUCCUCAGGCAAAUAUCCACUAUGGGACUCCAAGCAGUAAAGGGUGAUUAUUCCUGAUUAGAACAAGAAUUGCAACUUUUGUUUUUUUUUCUUUCUAAUUUCACAAGUAGUUUUAGAAUCUUCAAAAUUGUGCGGUAUUCAUUCAUUCAUGGCCUUUAUUGCAAACUGAUAUAUCUUUCACCCAUAAUGAACUUUCACAAUGGCAUUUUCAGUUGAAGGGAUUGACCAUACAAAUCCUUUAAAUUCUAUCUUAUCUUUUUUGUUUUGGAG
rnacentral:misc_RNA from 1 species